rnacentral:rRNA from 1 species
UACGUAGGGACCAAGCGUUGUUCGGAUUUACUGGGCGUAAAGGGCGCGUAGGCGGCAAUUCAAGUCAUCUGUGAAAUCUCCGGGCUUAACUCGGAACGGUCAGGUGAUACUGCUUUGCUAGAGUGCAGAAGGGGCAAUCGGAAUUCUUGGUGUAGCGGUGAAAUGCGUAGAUAUCAAGAGGAACACCUGAGGUGAAGACGGGUUGCUGGGCUGACACUGACGCUGAGGCGCGAAAGCGUGGGGAGCAAACAGG